GUGCUGGCUUUGGUAGCAUAUAUAGUAAAAUUGGAACCACACAGAGAAGAUUAGCAUGGCUCCUGUUAAGGUUGGCAAAAAAAAAAAAAAAAGUCAAGUAAUUAAG
ensembl:snRNA LOC120098442 U6 spliceosomal RNA